GUGCAGUCAGGACACAAGGUAGAAGACACGGGCUGCAAGGAAACUGCCAGAAGAAUCAAGCUGCCAGAAGAAUGACAGAGCGCAGAGCACACACAGUAAAAAGCAGCCGAGUGAAUGACCACAUGAAUUGAAAACAACAAAGAAACAUAAAAGACCAGACC